CAGUGCACUUGCAGAAUGCAGGGUUAUGUACAUGUUUUGAAGUUUAGGCAGCCUGUGGUUAGUGGAAAAAUAGGCUAGGGCGUAUUACUUUCAAUUUAUGCCAAAAGUGAUUAUUCAAUAGUGUAUAUUCAGUUAAGUCUGAGCAUGCAGUUUUAAUUAAUAUCUACUGAUACUGAUAGUUUAUUUAAGACUGGAUUUAAUACCUACCUAUGUUAAGUAUAAUCAUCAGAUAGGCUAUAGGUAUACAAUGGCAUUUGCAUUUAUAAUUCAAACAUUUGACUCAGAAGAACCAGAACUAGCUUAUUAUAGGUUUUAUUCUGCUUGGUCAAAAGAGCCUAUUGCCACAGGCCUACCGUCUCAAAAUAAAGAAGAGAGCCCUAGCUCAUUUGUAUUUGAAUCAAACAGUGAAAAAAAAGAAAUUGUGUCUUUAAUAGUGAAGAAAAACCACAUGCUUUAUUCAUUAAAACUCAAACAGUCAUUGAUUCCAAUACAAAAUCAAGAUAUGAAGACAUUGAUCAAAGGAUGUUAUACAGAAACAAGUUGGAAGUCAGAAAGGUUUACAGUAGUUUGGGAAGGUGUACCAGGUAUUGGAUUUUCAUUGGUUUGUGAAGAGGAUGUAAACAUUUCCCAAGCUCAGAUGAUUCUUGAUUUACUGGUGUCUGAGAUGGAAAAAUAUUUACAAAUUGUUUCAUAUCCACUUAUUACCCCUAAAACGUUUGAUUCUGUUGCAUUAAUAGUUGACACAUUUCUUCCUGGUGGUCAGUUACUAUUCCUAAACAGCAGCUUGAUCAAAUCUUUAGAAAAACUGUUGGAGUCUGAUCUUUAACGCACAACUAGGCUACUAAAAAAGCAAUUACAAACCGAAGUUGUCAAGAAGCCAUGAAGUUAAGUAACUCAGCAAAGGACACUUGUAAGUUGUAAGCUGUGAACCUAUGAUUUAUUAUUUUACUCACCAGAGAAAUGUAUCAAACCUAUUAUUUAUUAAAUUAUCUAGAUCUAUAA